GCGUAAAGCGCACGCAGGCGGUUUGUUAAGUCAGAUGUGAAAUCCCCGGGCUCAACCUGGGAACUGCAUCUGAUACUGGCAAGCUUGAGUCUCGUAGAGGGGGGUAGAAUUCCAGGUGUAGCGGUGAAAUGCGUAGAGAUCUGGAGGAAUACCGGUGGCGAAGGCGGCCCCCUGGACGAAGACUGACGCUCAGGUGCGAAAGCGUGGGGAGCAAACAGGAUUAGAUACCCUGGUAGUCCACGCCGUAAACGAUGUCGACUUGGAGGUUGUGCCCUUGAGGCGUGGCUUCCGGAGCUAACGCGUUAAGUCGACCGCCUGGGGAGUACGGCCGCAAGGUUAAAACUCAAAUGAAUUGACGGGGGCCCGCACAAGCGGUGGAGCAUGUGGUUUAAUUCGAUGCAACGCGAAGAACCUUACC
rnacentral:rRNA from 1 species